ensembl:lncRNA
CUGAACAAUGAAACCACACAUAGGGUGGGGUUCAUUGCAAUAGUUCCAUCUAGCGUACUAUUGGAGAACAACACUUGCUCAAAUGCGUGAGAGCAUGUUCUAUUAAAUCGCUUUUCUUAAUUCUCUGUGAUUUUGAAAUUUAGAUCAUAUUUGUUAAACACAUUUUCGAGAAAUAAACGUUUCUUACAAUGACGAUGAAACGCUUUAAAUUGAUCACGUGUGUCCACAAGUUCCAGUCCUUGUCAGCUGAGAUCCAAUUUCACGAUAUGCGCUGUCAAUUGUCAACGCAACCUUUUCUAUAGUGGAUGUUCUUUACUGCGAAACGAAUGUAAGUUAGAAUAUAUGUCCUGCUCACUAUUGAAAUUAAGUUGAUAACGAACGUUUAGAAGUAAAACAGUCUAGCGUAGCCGACCACACACUCCUCUAAAACGUGACUUUUCUGUGGGCGACUGUUGCAACCACCAAAUAUUGAUUUCAAGCCCCGGAAUAUAGGCAAAUUUCCCGGAUAUCAAAGCUGAUUGAUGAAUGUUUUUUUAAUCACCUGUUGCGCAUGGAAUCUAACAAUAACACUUUGCCCAGGUGAGGUUGGAUCUGGCCUGCUACUUUGGACACAAAGAUGUUGUGGAGGAGCUACUCAAGGAAGUAGUUAUUUUUCUGUUGCGAUACCUGUGCCACUAUCAUCUACGGGACAGCCCAGGUCCCUAAAUCUGUCUACGAGGAUAAUGAGACCAUCGCCAUGCACGAGGCUGCAGAGAUCAGAGAGGAGAAGAGGAAGGAAGCGAAGCUUCUGGGGGUGGACAGAGAGGGAGACAUCUUCAGCCUGUCUCAGCUGGUCAGCAUCUGAUCAUCCCUGGCCCUCCACUGAACCUCUCAACCUCAAGCUCUGCAAGAUGAGGCCUCCAGACAUCCACUGUAGAGACCUGCCUACAGGGGGCAGAAGCAGUGUGUGAGAAAGAUGCUCAAGUCUGGAGCCAGCCCCAGCAUCAAGAAUGAGCAACCAAACCGUUUUUGACCUGGCCUGGAGUGAGGAGAUUAAGCAGAUUCUGGUGGGCAGUCAUGACAAGAGAUGCUUGGAUGCCCUGGAGGAGCAUGUGGCCAACAGCAGCUGUCACUACCCAGGAGCAGACAGAUGAGGAGGGGGAUGAAGAUAGAUCUUGGCGACCUCACAGACUCCCUCCAGGUCAGAUGAAGUCAACACCAGCGGAUCCCAAAUAUUUCCGUUCUGGAGACCACCAAAUCACUAUCAAAAGCUCUUGAUCUAAAAUAAAUAAACACUAAAACAUUUUGCAGACCAUCUGCACAGCGGACCACAGGUUGAAACCACUAGUCUACACGCACACACCCAGACCGGAACUCAAACCAACACAGAUUCCAACUUUUUCAGGGCUAGCCAAUCACAGAGUUCCAUUGUUACCUUAUUUUUAAUAUUCUACUCCAGAAAAGUGACAGUUGGUUUCAGUUAGCCCUGCUUGUGUGAACACAAGCUAAGCUAGCCCAGGCCCAUUCCGUCGUAUUGAUGCUUACACAAUUGUUUACAAGUGGGCUGUGUUCUUAUUGGCUCAUGCAUUCAUGGUGAAUGGGUUAUAGAAGCCCCUCCCCCUGUUGUGACUGGCCAGUAGCUGUGUGACAAGGGAGGGGUAGUAAACUGAGGGGCUGAUGGCUGUGUAUGUGUAGAAGGGAGGGUUUGUUUGUGCGUGUGCGCACCUGUCCUCGCGGCCGUGCCCUUGGGACAUCAGUAGAACAGAGUGGUAAUCACUAGCGAGCCUGUAGCAAGGACACAGCCGAGCAAGAUCCGCUUUUAUGCUGAGCUCUGCACUCUGCUUGCAGAUCAGUGCAGGCACACACACUCACACACGCUCUUGCUUAAGGGAAACGCUAGGCAUUUGGAGACGGAACUGUUGCACGUGCAUAUUAACACUCAAGCAGAGACACAUGCUUUCACACUCGCACGCACGUACGUACGUUCACAGAGGCAGCCACAAUUCUACCACCCAGCAGAGCAUCCCGAGGACAGGAGGAGGAAAAGUGACAGCAGCACCCUCUAUCCACUCAGGUACAGACAAACAUCCUCCCUUUGUUUUUCAUUGUCUUCUGAACUACUAUGGGUCUAUUUGCAUUAGGC